CUCAUAGGAGCACGGACCCUGCUGUGAGCUGCAUAUAGGAAGCAUCUAGGUUGCCUGCUCCUUAUGAGAAUCUAAUGUCUGAGGAUCUGUCACUGCUUCCCAUCAUGUCAGAUGGGACCAUCUAGUUGCAGGAAAACAGGCUCAGGGCUUCCACCGAUUCUACAUUAUGACUCCUUGAGUUAAGGGAAGGUCGCUUGUUUGGAGCAAUGAUCUCAGGGCUCAUGAGUGACGCGAAUGAGAAGAGUGACCAAGGAAGGUCAAUGCAAAAGCAAGUUACUGAGCUGGUUACCCUGUGGGUUUGGUAAUAAUUCAUUCUUCACCCAGAAAGAAUCGUGCCCACUAUAUGAAAUAAAUGCAUGAAACUGGAGAUUUCUUCGGAGUUCUUCUAAGGGUACGUUCCUGGCCCUGUGUCGGGUCUGGGUCCACUGGCACACCAUCCUGAGAUACCAGGGCAGAUCCAAGUAGAUGCAGAGGGAGGUCACAGUCACAGCCAACACCAGCAUGGUGGCAACUAUGGUGACGAUCAGCAGAGUUAUGUUGCAGGAUAAUUCAGGCAUGCGAAAGUCCUUUAGUAGGGUGCCUCUAUAACUUUCUGGGUAGUCACACUUAUAAGAAUCAGGCCAGCCCUCUACCACUUCACUUGAUACUUGGUCUAUAUUUUUGACAAAUUCCCUUAGCUCACAGGUACAUUGGAAUGGAUUGUCCCCUGCUUUUAUUGACCUCAUCUUCUGGCAGCUUUGGAAGAAAUCAGCUGAUGGGUGGGAAACUGAAUUGUGAUCAAUGAUCAAUACAGAAAGGCUGCUAAAGCUGCCACAUCCGGGAAGGUCGGUUAAAGAAUUGAAAGCAACAUUGAGUUCUUGCAAAGCUUCCAGUUUUACGACUUGUUUGGGAAUGCUCUUUAUUUUAUUGCUGUGAAGAUCAAGUACCUUGAUCCUGGGAGGUAAACAUCUGAAAAUAGUGUCCGUGAGUACAUUUGAAGACAUAUUUAAACUUAAUAAACUUUUAGUCCAAGAACAGUCUCCUUUCUUUUCAUCAUAGCUUACAGAAUUCUGGCUAAUAUCCAAUUGUUGCAGAGACUUCAUCUGUGUAGUCAUUUCAGCUAUUUUUGAAAGUUCUUUUAAUUGAUUCAUUUGUAAAAUAAGUGUCUCCAACUCAGUAAGGUGCCCACAAUUUUCAAAAACCGUGUCUGUUAAGAGAUUAUUGGAAAAAUCCAAAUGCAGGAAUGGGCUAAUUUUGGAUGGGCAAAGCAUGUGGACCAUGCGUGUACCAGACACUGUGAAAUUUAUGAUGUUCAUAUUAGAAAAGAUUUCAUAGAUAUCACUUUGUGGAAAAUUGAACACAUCGCUGACAACUUGGUGUAUAGACAAGGCCUUCAGGGAAGUGCCAGAAUAAUUAAAAUCUCUGAAGUCCAGCCGACCCUGUAGCUUCACGUUUGAAAUUGAGAAAUACCAUACGGUUGUAUGCCAAACCAGCUGGAGGAUCCUAAUGAAAGAAUUCCAAGUUGUUUCAAUGUUGUUUAAGGUAAGACUUGAUAACUUUGGAUUUGUUUGAAGUUUUGCCAGAAUAUUUAGGAAGUAAGAACAUUCAUUAUCUUCUAGCACACAUUUGAUAUUAGAUAGUUCCAGAUUUGCUACAGUCUUGACUGACACAUCCAAAAUAAAAUGGAAUUCUUUGUUUGUGGGGAACACAAUGUGCAGACUCUCAGUGUUAAAGUCUUGAAGGCCCUCAGGGUCUUCCUUUUCCCCAUAAGUCUCUCCUAAGACCAGCAAGACCUUGCCGAUAUUCAAAUGAGCAAUUGGCAGCACACUAGAUUUUUCUAAGUGUGUGGUGCUCAACCCCAGAAAUUUUAGUUGAGACAUAUUGCCAAACUCUUUGCAUAUAGGCAAGGCAUCAAAUGCAUUAAAUGACAGGUCCAAGUGCUUGAGGUUCACAGUAGGGUGGCAAGAAAUCUUCGCCAACUUGUUGUGAGACAAAUCCAAGUAUUCCAAUUCCUGGUUGAAUUUGAAAACACUCAUAUCAAGAUACUGGAUUCUAUUAUGAGAAAUUAUCAAAAUCCUCAACUUUGACAGUGAUAAGAUGUCAGAAGUCCAAAGCUCAGAUAUAUAAUUUUGUGAUAUAUUUAAGAUUGUUGUUUUCUGCGAUAGGUCUUUAGGAACGUAGAUGAGACCGUUUUUUGACCUAUCAACUAAAAAUUCACUUUCUUCAGAUAAUUGUAUUCUGAUCUGAAGUAUUAACAUGAAGAUAAUGGCAAAAGGGAAGAUGCCAGUCAUUUUGGAACACUAGACAUUCCUAAAGGUAGAAGCUGUUCUUCAGAUCAUCUUGAUACAGAUACAGAUUCUAGAAAAAAAAUACAUGAAAUGAUGAAAUACAUUACAUACAUUUUUAAAAUACACAAAAUUAGUCAUGGCUGAUGUUAAACUUUUCUUUUUAUUACAGACUCAUAAAAUGGAGGCUAUAUUCUUUUGGGUUACAUGGCCUAAAACUAGAGAAGUAUAUAUAUUGGUAAAUAAUGAUGCCAGCUCUAAUCAAAUAAGUUUUAAUAUGGAUGGUGCAAUAGGUUGAAUGGUGGCUCACCAAAAGAUAUGUCUACAUCUUAACCAUGUCCUAAUCCCCAGAAACCAUGAACGUUACCUUCCUUAGAAAAGGGGUCUUUGCAGAGAUAAUAAAGUUAAGGAUCUUGAGAUGAGGAGAUCAUCCCAAAUUAUCCAGGUGGUCCAUAAAUCCAAUGACAAGUGCUUUUUUAAGAGAAAGGCAGAGGGAUAUUUGACAAAGAGACAAGAGAAGAGGCAACUGAGACACAGAGGAGAAGGCCUCGUGACAGUGGAGGCAGAGACUGGAGUACAGCAGCUACAAGGCAAGGAACAUCAACAGGUGCCAGAAGCUAGAGGAGGCUCUGGAGUGAGGGAAGCCCUGCUGAUGCCUUGAGUUUCGACUUCUGCUCUCCAGAACGUUGAGGGCAAAGCCACCACGUUUAUGAUCAUCUGUUACAGCAGCCUCAGGAAACUAACACAGAUGGACUGAGGGGAGCCAGGACACAGCUCGGCUUGCUUGUGCCCGGAGAGAGUUAAGCUGCUGACCCUGAGGGCAAGGGAGAGCCGGACGCACAGCUGUGUGUGGAAGCUGCCGAACUAAGCGGCCAGGACAAGUUGGACAGUCUGAGAGAACUACUGUAAGUAAGUUGCUGAUGAGAGCUGCUGCUGAAUAAAAUCACCUUUCACCUGC